rnacentral:rRNA from 1 species
UACAGAGGUCUCAAGCGUUGUUCGGAUUCAUUGGGCGUAAAGGGUGCGUAGGCGGCGCGGUAAGUCGGGUGUGAAAUCUCGGAGCUUAACUCCGAUACUGCAUUCGAUACUGCCGUGCUUGAGGACUGGAGAGGAGACUGGAAUUUACGGUGUAGCGGUGAAAUGCGUAGAUAUCGUAAGGAAGACCAGUGGCGAAGGCGGGUCUCUGGACAGUUCCUGACGCUGAGGCGCGAAAGCGUGGGGAGCGAACCGG